UUUGACCUCAAAUCAGGUAGGACUACCCGCUGAACUUAAGCAUAUCAAUAAGCGGAGGAAAAGAAACUAACAAGGAUUCCCCUAGUAACUGCGAGUGAAGCGGGAAAAGCUCAAAUUUGAAAUCUGGCAGUCUUUUUUUUCUUCUUUGGCUGUCCGAGUUGUAAUCUAGAGAAGUGCUUACCUGCACUGGACCAUGUAUAAGUCUCCUGGAAUGGAGCCUCACAGAGGGUGAGAAUCCCGUCUUUGACAUGGACCGCCAGUGCGUUGUGGUGCGCUCUCAAAGAGUCGAGUUGUUUGGGAAUGCAGCUCUAAAUGGGUGGUAAACUCCAUCUAAAGCUAAAUAUUGGCGAGAGACCGAUAGC
rnacentral:rRNA from 1 species